CUACACUGUGGGGCAGCAGGGUCUCUGACUCCUCCAUCUGAGCAGACGAGCAGGAGGGUGAAAGUCCUCCAGGCCCAAGACCUAACCUCAUCACUCUGCACUUCGGGGAGCUGAAGUGCUGCCCUUGGGGAAGUCUGAGGGGGCGUCUGGCUUUCCUGCAGCCUGCUGGCCAUCUGAAGAUGUAUCCCUUGCUGAUCACCUAGCCUGAGCAGCUGACAAAUCCUUCUGAGCAACGCUGGAGAAGACAGAGUUCCCUGGAGAUUCUGUGGGUCAGGAAUCUGAAAAGAAGCCUGUGGGGAUGGAUGGCUCAUCUCUAUUUUCUGGCUUGAAGACUCAAAGGUUGUGUUUCCUUGGGCAAGGCGUGUCACAGUCUGUGUCUCAAUGCCUCCAUCUAUGUGGUAAGAAUGAUGUUAAUACUUAUGGGAUCGUGGAAAAGGGUAAAUUAAUCAGUGGUGUGUAAAGGGUUUCUAGGUGUGUCUGCAGUGAGUGCUUACUCUGCUGAUGGUCGGUUAGAAUGAUCUCAUUCAGUUCUCACAGCAGUCCUUUGAGGCAGGUACUGUUAUGCUGCCCAUUUUAUGGAUGAGGACACUGAGACAAAGGGGUCAUUUUGUUCCCUUAGUGCCAUUGGAGGGUGGGACACAGGAGGCUUCUAGAGAAGGAGUCUCAAGGAGACCUCAUCAGAAGAGAACAUUCUUUCUAUAAAGGGGGAAUCAUUUGCCAAGCCCCAGAAUUGAGUUGGCGCACGGGGUACAUGUGGAGCUGCCUGUGGAGUGGGGCUGGAACCUCAAAAUCAAGAAAAAGUAGUUGUGAGAAUGAGGAAAAAAGGGUGGCAGGACUUGGUGAGGCCCAUGUGCUUGUCCACAGAUGAACAUUUACUGGAUCCUAUUAUGCGCUGGGCCUUGUACUCGGUUUAAGAAUAUAUUAGUUAGGGUGCAUUUGGCUGGGACUCAGGACACCUGAAUAACAAUGAUUCAAGGAAGUAAAGGGAUUUUCCUCACAUAGCAACAAGUCUGGAGCCAAGCAGUACAGGGCUGGUGCAGCAGCUCCGAAGCCACUGGGUACUCUAUC
ensembl:lncRNA